rnacentral:tRNA from 1 species
GCCAGCGUAGCUCAGUCGGCAGAGCGGCAGUUUUGUAAACUGCGGGUCGGGGGUUCGAUUCCCUCCGCUGGCUCCA